rnacentral:rRNA from 1 species
AACGAACGCUGGCGGCAUGCCUAACACAUGCAAGUCGAGCGCGCCUUCGGGGGAUCGGCGGACUGGUGGGUAACGCGUGGGGAUAUGCCCUUCUCUACGGCAUAGCCCUGGGAAACUGGUGGCAAUACCGUAUACGCCCUUUUGCGGGAUGGUUUAUCGGGCUAGGAUUAGGGCGCGUUGGAUUAGGUAGUGGGUGGGGUAAUGGCCUAGCAAGCCGACGAUCCAUAGCUGUGUUGAGAGGCUGAGCCGCCACAAUGGGACUGAGACACGGCCCAGACUCCGACGGAAGGGAGGAGAGGAGUAUAUAAGACAAUGGGGGCAAACCCGACAACGCCGUGUGGGGGAAGAGAUGCAGGCGUUAGGAUUGCAAAGCUGUCUCAGCUGGGAAGAGAAUGACGGUACCAGGAGAAGAAGCACCGGCUAACUACGUG